UUAUGUAAUUGACGUAAUUGGCAGGUAUGAGGUAUAACAAACAACGGCUAUUUUGAUCUAUUGCGCAAGUUUAGAGGUAUAGAAAGACUCAAAAGAUGAAUUACCGUUCAAUUUUUUUGCUACAACCAUUCUGAUAGGAAAAAAAUCGUCCACAAGUUGUUUUGGUUGCCCGUCAUUUGGAUGAAAGGUCACGUGAUUGCAAGCAAAGAAUUGGUAAUUUCACCUAAUUGCUAAUCUCAAUCUAAUGCUAAUUCAGAUAUUCAUCAAUAGCGACGGCAUCUUGGAUUUCGUGUUUAAUGCAAUGGAUUGUAGGUAAUUACCCAGGGUAAUUGAGCCUUUUUAAAGUCCUGUAAAUCAAAUAUGUUGGCGAAAACACCCGUUUUAUGGUUUUAAAUAACAGACAAUAACCUACCGGAACAAACAAGAGCUCGGAACAAUAAAAACGGAUAAAAUCGAUAGUUGGCCUGUCUGAUGAUGUCUGGCCUGAAUGGGGUGAAACGAUGCAACAUGGAACACAUAUAAUUGAUUUAUACUUCUUCAUAGUCGUCAAGAAAGUGGUUAGGACAAUGAAUUUUACGCAUGGUGUCUCAAUACAACAAUAACGGCUUUUAAAGGAUUUUUACUCUGGAU